CAGUUCUUUUACAAAUUCAACACAGACCCACCAAAAAUAAAGAGAAAACCAGUUGGGGAAAUGCAAAAAGAACCCAGCAAAGAGGGGGAGGAGGAUGAAAUGAAUUACGUGUGGGUUAGGGAGAUAGAAAUUGAGAAGUUUUGGCUGCCGAUAGAGACCGUGGUUAGGCCAUUGAUUCUUUCUACUGUUACAAAGAAUUCAGGUACUGUAUGGCAGUGAAUGUGAUAGCCUUUGUAUAUUCUGGCUUUCGGGGUUACGAUCUAAUCUAUCAAUUGACCUCCGGAGAACGCAAAGUGAGGCAACCCCUCUGCCACUACUUGGAUUUUUAUUUAGAUCAGGUUUGCCAACGGAGGAAUGAUAUCUUACUGCAAGCUGCUAUUAUGGUGCUGAUGAUCUCAGUUAAGUGUAGUUGAAUUCUUCCUUUGAUGAGCAUGGAGGUGAGAUGCAAGUUGCACAAGAUGCUCCUUUAAAGCCAUCUAUGGAUAUCUUUGCUGUAGGGUAUGCCAACGGAGGAAUGAUAUCCUACUGCAAGCUGCUAUUAUGGUGCUGAUGAUCUCAGUUAAGGUACGUUUAAGCGCUGCAAUUCACAGUUUAAGACGGAGACACAAUUGAGUUACAUCAAAGAUGCCAUGUCGUGCAAUAUUUAAAUCUUCACUGGACUUAAUGUUGGCUGUCUUUUAGCAGGUUUUACAUAAAAAGAAUGUUUUGGAUUACAGUGAUGGAUUAUUCUUCUGGCUAUGUAUAAUAUAUAUUGAAAGUGUAGUUGAAUUCUUCCUUGAUUUUUCAGAGAUUUUUUUAGCAUGGAGGUGAGAUGCAAAUGGGAUACUAAAAUGAUUUUGUAUUUGCUAUUUUCCUUAAUCUGAGCAUGAUUUUCAUUACCUAAAACAGGAUACUAAAUUGAUGAAUUUCCUGGAUUUUGUGAUUGUUGAUUUAUUAUUUAUGCCAAGAGUGGAUUGUGACUUGAUUUCUGGAUUAUGCAACUCACGUUCUCUGUCAAAAAUAGCAAAUGAAGCUGACUUAGUGGAGCAGUGGAAUGACUCAAGUGAUGCUACACCAGCAGCAAGAACAUGAUUGGAGAGAUUGAGAACCACUCAAGCUAACUUUUAGCUGUAAGUGUAACAGUAUCUUAUCGUUUCAUUGAGUUUUUCUCUUUUGUUUUGCAAAUAUGAUUACCUUCUUUGACAUUAUGCACAUUGAUACACAAAUAAAAUAUGAGGUCAAAAAACAAAAGGAGUUCAUACAUUUCUUGGUCAAAGAGGUGGAAUCAGCAAGCUUUUCAGAGAUAUCAGAUGUGGAGACAUUUGUUAAAUGGCUAGAUGGGGAACUAUCGUCCUUGGUUGAUGAAAGGGCGGUGUUGAAGCACUUCCCACAAAUAGCCAGAACGAAAAGCAGAUGCUUUAAGAGAAGCUGCUUUCAAUUACAGAGACUCGAAGAACCUUGAAACUGAGGUUUCAUCGUUUGAGGACUCUUUGGCUCGGGCAACAAGAAGGAUGCAAGCAUUGCAAGACAGUUGAGCAUGUUGGAGCAAAGUGUUAACAACACAGAAAGAAUGAGAGAAAGCAGCAGUAGAAGAUGCAGGGAUUUUCAGAUCCCAUGGGAAUGGAUGUUUGAUACAGGACUCAUUGGCCAGUCCUAAAACACUUGUAAACAUGAAUGGACAAGGAAUUGCAAGUCCUAAAACAGUUGCUAAUUCAGUUGAAUUGAAGAAUUUCACUCUAAGUCCUAAAACACUUGGAUUGUGGAAUGUAGAAAGCAAUGGAGGAUAUUCAGCCCAAACAAGUUCUAAAGAGGGAGAGAGUCCAAACAUUUCGGCCCAAGCCACUCCAAGUCCAAGCUCAACAAGGGAAGCUCAAGCUCACCAAGAAAGAAGUCCAAGUGUUGAAAAUGUUCAAUCUGGCCCAAGUCUCAUUUCAAAGAGAAUACAUGAAAAGAAUAAGCAAGGAGUUGAAUUCCAUUAACGAAUGUUUGCAAGAACAGAGUCCGAUGCUCCAAGGAGUUCGAUUUGCCUAUAAAAUCCACCAGUUUGCAGGUGGGCUUGACAUAGAGAACAUAAAAUGCAUUUGAAGAGCUAAAAAAAGUUGGUAUCGUAGUCAUCAUAAUAUGUAUUGUCGUUGUUCAUCAAGUGUUUGAACUUUCUAAUGCUCCUUUCAUUUAGUUUUUGGGGAUUUCGAAUGUUGAAUUAGUAGGUCGAAAGCAACAUCAAGCUAGAUGAUUUGUAUAGACAUCCACUACCAUUGUACCAAACAUUAUAUACCGAGUUACGGCAAU